rnacentral:rRNA from 1 species
GGCGGGAACGGCAACAGCUCAAAUUUGAAAUCUGGCUCCCUCUGGGGGUCCGAGUUGUAAUUUGCAGAGGGUGCUUUGGCGUUGGCGGCGGUCUAAGUUCCUUGGAACAGGACAUCGCAGAGGGUGAGAAUCCCGUUUGUGGUCGCAUGCCUUCGCCGUGUAAAGCCCCUUCGACGAGUCGAGUUGUUUGGGAAUGCAGCUCUAAAUGGGAGGUAAAUUUCUUCUAAAGCUAAAUACUGGCCAGAGACCGAUAGCGCACAAGUAGAGUGAUCGAAAGAUGAAAAGCACUUUGGAAAGAGAGUCAAACAGCACGUGAAAUUGUUGAAAGGGAAGCGCUUGCAGCCAGACUUGCCCGCCGUUGCUCACCCAGGCUUUUGCCCGGGGCACUCUUCGGCGGGCAGGCCAGCAUCAGUUUGGGCGGUCGGAUAAAGGCCUCUGUCACGUAUCUUCCUUCGGGAUGACCUUAUAGGGGAGGCGACAUGCGACCAGCCCGGACUGAGGUCCGCGCAUCUGCUAGGAUGCUGGCGUAAUGGCUGUAAGCGGCCCGUCUUGAAACACGACCCCAGGGGAGA